AAUUCCUCGCGGUAUGUUCGAAAAACAAAAACAAAUUACAUGGGCCUCGUUCAGCGAAGUUCGAAACAAAAUAGCCGAAACAAAUUCUACCUACGCUCGGCUACUGCCGAGGGCUUCACGAAGUUCGAUCCUCAUAUUUGUUAUUGUUUUCGAUCUCUGUUCGAAGCAGCGGUUGCGAGAGUUCGUAAAUUAGAGAGAGAUGGAGAUGGAAGGAAGGGAGGAAAGAAAAUUGGUGUAAAAAACAAAGAGUAUUGCACCGACGGCAGAAUGACCUUUUUAAAAUAAGUAGGAAUAUUUAAAAAUAUUAAAGAUUAUAUUUAAUUAAUUUUUACGUAUAAAAUCAUGUGGUAUAUAAGCACUUAAGAAAAUGUGCUUUUGACUUGGCCGAAAUGUUCACGUUUGAUUAUCAGCCCUUUGUGAAUCUAAUUACAAGGCAUUGCCUUGUCGGCUAUACCCUGACACGCGAGAAUUUUCGGUCUUCGGUUUUGUCUUCUAAUUCUCUUUGCAUUUUGAGUUGACUGCUGUUGCAUUCAGAAGUGUUUUGCGUAUUAGUUGCGUAAAAAUGAAAUAUUAUAAGGUAAGUGGAACUUAUUUGCAUUCAAUUAUUAAUUUUAAUUGCAGAAUUGACGAUUAAAAUGGAUGCGACUUCAACUUAGACGGUGUGAAUGGGAUUCAGUACGGAUUUACAAAGUUUUUUUAUCCAGUUUAAGUUGAUAAAACAAGUUUCUUAAAGUACCCAGCAGCCGGCAAAGGAGACUCGUGACACGCAUAUAUACAUGUUUAAUUUUGCAGAAAAAUGUAAUGCUACCAAAAAAGUGAAGAUAAAUAAAAAAAUGCAAUCCAUAAAUAAAUAAG